rnacentral:rRNA from 1 species
GACGAACGCUGGCGGCGUGCUUAACACAUGCAAGUCGAACGGAAAGGCCCUGCUUUUGUGGGGUGCUCGAGUGGCGAACGGGUGAGUAACACGUGAGUAACCUGCCCUUGACUUUGGGAUAACUUCAGGAAACUGGGGCUAAUACCGGAUAGGAGCUCCUGCUGCAUGGUGGGGGUUGGAAAGUUUCGGCGGUUGGGGAUGGACUCGCGGCUUAUCAGCUUGUUGGUGGGGUAGUGGCUUACCAAGGCUUUGACGGGUAGCCGGCCUGAGAGGGUGACCGGCCACAUUGGGACUGAGAUACGGCCCAGACUCCUACGGGAGGCAGCAGUGGGGAAUAUUGCACAAUGGGCGGAAGCCUGAUGCAGCAACGCCGCGUGCGGGAUGACGGCCUUCGGGUUGUAAACCGCUUUCGCCUGUGACGAAGCGUGAGUGACGGUAAUGGGUAAAGAAGCACCGGCUAACUACGUGCCAGCAGCCGCGGUGAUACGUAGGGUGCGAGCGUUGUCCGGAUUUAUUGGGCGUAAAGGGCUCGUAGGUGGUUGAUCGCGUCGGAAGUGUAAUCUUGGGGCUUAACCCUGAGCGUGCUUUCGAUACGGGUUGACUUGAGGAAGGUAGGGGAGAAUGGAAUUCCUGGUGGAGCGGUGGAAUGCGCAGAUAUCAGGAGGAACACCAGUGGCGAAGGCGGUUCUCUGGGCCUUUCCUGACGCUGAGGAGCGAAAGCGUGGGGAGCGAACAGGCUUAGAUACCCUGGUAGUCCACGCUGUAAACGGUGGGUACUAGGUGUGGGGUCCAUUCCACGGGUUCCGUGCCGUAGCUAACGCUUUAAGUACCCCGCCUGGGGAGUACGGCCGCAAGGCUAAAACUCAAAGGAAUUGACGGGGCCCCGCACAAGCGGCGGAGCAUGCGGAUUAAUUCGAUGCAACGCGUAGAACCUUACCUGGGUUUGACAUGGAUCGGGAGUGCUCAGAGAUGGGUGUGCCUCUUUUGGGGUCGGUUCACAGGUGGUGCAUGGCUGUCGUCAGCUCGUGUCGUGAGAUGUUGGGUUAAGUCCCGCAACGAGCGCAACCCUUGUUCACUGUUGCCAGCACGUUAUGGUGGGGACUCAGUGGAGACCGCCGGGGUCAACUCGGAGGAAGGUGGGGAUGACGUCAAGUCAUCAUGCUCCUUAUGUCCAGGGCUUCACGCAUGCUACAAUGGCUGGUACAGAGAGUGGCGAGCCUGUGAGGGUGAGCGAAUCUCGGAAAGCCGGUCUCAGUUCGGAUUGGGGUCUGCAACUCGACCUCAUGAAGUCGGAGUCGCUAGUAAUCGCAGAUCAGCAACGCUGCGGUGAAUACGUUCCCGGG